UUUUCCUAGGGUAAACAUUUCCUUCCUGAGAAAAUGCAUAAAUUGAACCUGGACUGGAAUGAAUUCUGCAGUACAGUUUCUGACUACCAGGUCGCCAAGAUACUUUGGACAUCCCUUCAUUAACAGGAAUUGAUAUUCUUUUCUACAUAAACCAAUAGAUUUGUAGUACAGUCUUCAAUUCAUAUUUAUCUAUGGCAUUAUAAAGCAGAAAGGUGAUUCAAGGCUACCAUGGGAAAAGCAACUCUAACUGGGAUCGUUUCACUCCUUUGCUAUCACACCAAUCCUGUCCCUGCCGAGAGAAGAUUUCAGCAGGGUGCAUUUCUAUGCGGCACACCCAACUGAGCUACGUGGAUUUGUCGCAACCAUUCCCUUCAGUGACCUCAUCCUGAAUGAGGGAAAUGCAUUCAGUUCUGGGGUCUUCACCGCUCCAGUCAACGGAAUCUACCGGUUCUUCUUCUCAACCCAGAGUGGCAGAGACGAAGACGUCAACGAGUGGCAUUUGCAGGUCAAUAGCGUGGCUGCAGUCGUGUGCCAUUCUCAAGUCAAAUUGAAUUCCACUGUUGGAAACAUGUGCACCUACAUGGCGGAGUUGAAAAAGAACGAUAAGGUCACUGUAAGACAAGUGAAGGGCAAUGCCUGGGCCUCGGCUGGCUCUGUCUGGACUCCUGAUGGCUCACGCACCAUUACUUUCUCUGGCUCACUGCUGAUGCAGAAGCCUUGAGUGUGUUAAAUAAAGGCCACAGCUAUGCAGUCUUUAUUAUGUUUGCUUGGUUCUGGCUAUCUGCAUUGAGAGUUAGUAACACUAAAGAAGAAUAAGCACAUGUAGGCCUAUUUCUAGCACAUGCAUUACAGCAAAUAUGCCAUCACUGUGCUUACACGCACGCAUACAUAGUUGCACAUACACGUACACAUAUGCAUACACACACACACACACACACGUACAUACACAUACAUAUACACAUAGGCCUACACACGCACACUUACACACACAGAGCGCGAGACCAAAGGAGGGCUCGUUCUUCUGUCAAUCAGAGAAAACAGGCAAAAGUUAAAUUUCCAGUCAUAAUCACUCUGAUUCACAAUGAGUUUGCAUAUGCAGACACAGAUGAAAAUCUUAUCAAAUUUUAUGUAAGUUUAAAAAGCCUUCAGGGUGUAAUGGACAUUGCAAAAGAACAUCUCCUGUUUUUUUUGUUUUUUUUUAAACUGUGAUGCUAGACUUCUAGACUCCUAUACUUUAAGAUUGAUGAAUUGCAACUGAUGUCAAGGGCACAUUUUACUAGCACAUUGUAUCAGAUUACUUUUCUUGUUAAAUAAAAACAAAAAAGACUUUA